UUUAAAGCCUCGGAGGGGCUGUGGCUGCUGCGGCUCCGGCAGCAGCACGCGGGAGGCGGGGCCGGAGGCUCAUCCGCCCCUCAGCCCGCCCACCCACGGUCCCGCAGCGGCGCGCGGCUGACGCUCACUCAGCGAUCCGGCCCUCCGCUGCUCCCGCGCAACCCCACGCGAAAGCGGCCGGUGCCAGGAUCGCGGCCACCCAGCCCGCGCCGGGCCUCAGGCAGUGCGGACGGCACGAACGGCGCGAUCUGGGACAGGCGCGGCCGCGCUCCGCCUCAGUGAUGUCGCCGGGAGGAUCUCCGCGCCGCUACCUCCUCUUCCGUCGCCCUCCUCCCACGCCUUCACCUCCCUCCCCCGCCGCGCUCUGCGGCGAAAAGGAGCUGGCUCCCAGCCCGCCUCCCUUCUCUUCACCCAGGGACCGCGCGUCAGUGAACCGGCAGCCCAGGCAACGGGGCUGCGGACGGCGCGCGGGCCCUGCCUUGCCUCACGCCGGUAGCUGAUGCUCCCGCGGCAGCUGCCACCCCGGCGCCCCAGCCGGGACUUCAGAGGCUCUCGCCCGCUGGCUUUUUUUUUUUUUUUUCCCCUCGCCUUUGAUGAACUCGCAGUACUUGGGCUGAGCCCGAAAUCUCGCGAGAUGCUGCAGGCGUCAGUGCCGCUUCCCACCAGGCGCGUGGUACCCGAGGCCGGGCUGGAGCCGCAGGCCCGCAGCUAUUCCUGCGGGCGAUGCUGGGGGCUUUCCGGUCGGGGCGGCAGCCGCUUCCGGAGCCGCGGGCGAGUAGAGACGGGUUUCACCGUGUUAACCAGGUCUCCUGACUUCGUGAUCCGCCCGCCUCGGCCUCUCCAAGUGCUGGGAUUACAAGCGUGAGCCACCGCGCCCGGCCCUUGUAUUUUUAAACUUGACUUUAUGGAGACGAACACUAUCGUUUGCUGAGCACUUGAAAUAUGGUGAAAGAGCCACAGAGUUGGCAGAACUGUUUGCAAAUGCUAUUUUUAGGGCAGUUUUUUGUGUCAUUAUGUUGCUGCUACAUAUUUGGAAGAUGGAACAAGCCCAGACAAAGGAUGAUUCUUUUUUAUCCAUCUUAAAUCCAUUUUUUUUCCUUCGUCUGAGCCCCUUAAAACUAAUGUGUUACUGGUACAAGUGGUCUUCUCUGUCUUCUUUCUGGCCAGUAAAAUUCUCUGGAAGAGGAGAUGUAUGGCAGCCUCACUCCCAGUAGUUUCUGCAUUUAGUGAGAUAAGUCAUAGCAAUUGUCUGCUAUUUUAAAACACCAUGAUGCUUAAAUAUUCCAGCUGCUACAUAGGACAGGUGUCUGACGAUCCUCAGCACAGUAGUCGAAAAAUAGAACUUGAGCCUGGAAUACAUUCUCUGGCAUAGCCAUAGUCAAUCACCAGUAUAAUUAAUGUAAAUAGACACUGGAUAGCUUUUUUUUGAAUUCCAAUGCAGCACAAAGAGACUUUCAUUGUUUCCAAAAAGAAAAUGUUUGAGAUUAAAAUCUAGAGUUUUAUGACUUAGAGGAAAUGUUAUAGCUUACUCCAAAAAGGGUAAGGCACAAAAUAUUCUGUGCCAAAGGAUGCAUAUUUGGCAUUUUUCCUAUGAAUCCCUUAGUGUAAGUGGCAUGAUGAAAUUUUCUUGGUUUCAACACAGAUAAUGUGUUGAGGUAGUGCUGAGGCUGAGAGGUGGGUGGGAUGGGUCUUGGAGAAGGAAAAGAUUUGUUUUGCAAGGUUUAUGGAGAGCUGAUGCAGUAGUGAGGCUAAGACGAGGGGCGUUUACUUGCUACUUACAUUGAGUUCACUAACAUCUGCAGCACUUUACUUGCAUUAUCCACACCAUUACCACGGGAAACCUAUAAAGUAAGUAUUCCUCUCCUCAUUUUACAAAUAGGGAAACAGAAGAUUUAGAAAAUUUUCCAAGCUCACAGAAUUAUUAAAUGGCAGAACUAGGACUCAAACCCAGGUUUGAUUAAUUUUAGAGACAUGCUUUUAACCACUUGGACGCUGACAACCAUGGAAUUGUUGGUAUGAAAAAAUCGUAUUCUUGAGGUAUAUUAUCUAUGGUCUUAAUAUCAGAGAAGUGCAGUUGAGUCGCUAUUAAAGAAUGUGGUAAAAUUUUAAAAUAGAUACCAUACAAAGGUAUAAAAAUAAUUAUAAAUAUUCUGUUUGGGGUAAAAGGUAUCAAAAUAGCCAUGCUCAGUGGAGGGGUAAGGAACUCUUAGCAGAGAUUGAUUAAUUGGGAGAUAGUUGAUUAAUGGGGAGUUAAUUGAUUAAUUGGGAUUGAUUAAUUUGGGAGUAGGUGGGAAGAUCAGGAAGUUGUAUAAAAUAAGGGAGAGAUAACCUAGUACCUGGAAAAAAAAGAAAUGGAAAUCGGUAGAAGCUAAGAGUUCAAUGGGAAAAAAAAGGAAUAAAAGAGAUUGGAAAGGAACAAUGAAUAUAGCAUGGAAGAUCCAAGAUGACGGGAGUUCAGGGGCUAAUUACAGCAGUGGAAAAAAGUAAUGUGUAAGCUGGAAGCCAGAGAUAAGAGCCAGGUAAAUGAAGAAGUUGGGCCCAAACAGGAAAGAAUUAGAAAGACUAGAAGGAGCAGGAGCCAUGUGGAAAAAUAUCAUGUAGUACUUUUAAGCUUGACCUGUCAUCUAUAGCAAACCCAGCAGGCUUAAGUACCAAAUUGACCUGACUGAACUAUGUUGAAAUGUACUAUGGUUUUAUAUCCAUAUGCACUUGGUCUGUGGAGUUGUGGGAAAAGCAUCAGUGAGUAGGAAGCCUAAGGAUUUGGGUCAAGUGUUAAAUAUGCUAUUUACUGUCUAGCUGUGUGACCUUAUAUAAGUCACUUGCAGUCUCCGAGCCUUCAUGUAUUCAUCCAUAAGAUGACUUGUUGUUUAUAUUAAAUGGGAUGUGGUAUGUUAAAGAGCUGAAUGCAUAGUGAUACAGAAGUACUUUCUGUAAUACUAUUUUUUAAAUAUUUUAAAUGAAAAAUUAAUGAACUUAUAAAUUAAAAGAUUCAAAAGGGACAAAAAGGUAUACAGUGAAAAGCAAUUCUCCUUCCCACCAGUAGCUCUGUCCUACUCCUUAGGACAUUCGCCAUAAACAGAUAUCCUGAAUUCUUCUAGAAAUAUUAUAUAUAAAAUCUCCUUAUUUUUCUUUUUUACCAUUUUAAAGGGGAUAAACUAAACUUUGCUUUUUUUCAUAUAAUAAUAUAUUCUGGAGAUCAUUUUCUAAAAGCACAUGUAAAUAUACCUCAUUAUUAUAAAGGUUUGAAAAUGUCAAUUUAUUUGACCUGUCCCCUCUCGAUAGAUAAUUAGAUUGUAUUCAUCUCUUUGGUUAUUACCAACAGAUAUUAAGAACUUACCAUGUACAUAUAGCCUAUUUUUUAGCAUUGUUAGACAAAGUAGGCAUAUUCCUUCCCAUCCAGGAACUCAUAACCUGGUAAUUGUAGUUGGCUGAUAGCUCUUUGCCUAUACACAGGACCUAACACAACCUCUUGAAUAAACAUUCCCCUUACUCAGAAAUGCCUUUUCCUAUUUCCAUAUUGCAACUUUGCUUACAAAUUUCCAAUCUGUCUUUCUAUUUACAGAAGAUAUGCAGAAUUCCUUUUGUGUGAUCUCUUUAUAUCUCUUGAUUUUCUUUUGUGUUUGCUACCAAAGGGUCUGCACAUAGUGAGAAGAUUGUGCAUGAUCUGUGAGCUCUACCACACCUAGAAUUAGGGAUCACCAAUAUGAGAAAAAAAAUUGGAGGUACAAAUAAUAUUAUCAUAUAUAACUGGCAUAUAAAUUACAGAUGUGUCUAUGACUAAAAAUCUUGUGGAUAUAAACCAAAUGCAGAUAAAUAUAAUAAAAUAUAUAAAAUAUAAUCAAAUAAUGAUAAUGCUAUUCAAAUGCUUCAAAUUUGCACAGUGAUUUAUUUCUUAAAAUAUGUUAACACGUGAGCCCAUACACUCAGAUCACUGGAAAAAUAAACAGAUUCUUGCAAGUGCUUUGGAAAUGAAA